ACUCCUACGGGAGGCAGCAGUGGGGAAUCUUGGACAAUGGGGGCAACCCUGAUCCAGCCAUGCCGCGUGAGUGAAGAAGGCCCUAGGGUUGUAAAGCUCUUUCAGCGGGGAAGAUAAUGACGGUACCCGCAGAAGAAGCCCCGGCUAACUCCGUGCCAGCAGCCGCGGUAAUACGGAGGGGGCUAGCGUUGUUCGGAAUUACUGGGCGUAAAGCGCACGUAGGCGGAUCGGAAAGUUGGGGGUGAAAUCCCGGGGCUCAACCCCGGAACUGCCUCCAAAACUAUCGGUCUGGAGUCCGAGAGAGGUGAGUGGAAUUCCGAGUGUAGAGGUGAAAUUCGUAGAUAUUCGGAGGAACACCAGUGGCGAAGGCGGCUCACUGGCUCGGUACUGACGCUGAGGUGCGAAAGCGUGGGGAGCAAACAGGAUUAGAUACCCCUGUAGUCC
rnacentral:rRNA from 1 species